GCGCACGCUGGCGGCAGGCUUAACACAUGCAGGUCGAGCGGGCACUUUCGGGUGUCCGCGGCGGACGGGUGAGUAACGCGUGGGAACGUGCCCUCUGGUUCGGAAUAACUCAGGGAAACUUGAGCUAAUACCGGAUACGCCCUUUUGGGGAAAGGCUUGCUGCCGGAGGAUCGGCCCGCGUCUGAUUAGCUAGUUGGUGAGGUAACGGCUCACCAAGGCGACGAUCAGUAGCUGGUCUGAGAGGAUGAUCAGCCACACUGGGACUGAGACACGGCCCAGACUCCUACGGGAGGCAGCAGUGGGGAAUAUUGGACAAUGGGCGCAAGCCUGAUCCAGCCAUGCCGCGUGAGUGAUGAAGGCCUUAGGGUUGUAAAGCUCUUUUAUCCGGGACGAUAAUGACGGUACCGGAGGAAUAAGCCCCGGCUAACUUCGUG
rnacentral:rRNA from 1 species